UUAAGCGACUAAGCGUACACGGUGGAUGCCCUGGCAGUCAGAGGCGAUGAAGGGCGUGCUAAUCUGCGAUAAGCGCCGGUAAGGUGAUAUGAACCGUUAUAACCGGCGAUACCCGAAUGGGGAAACCCAGUGUGACUCGUCACACUAUCAUUAACUGAAUCCAUAGGUUAAUGAGGCGAACCGGGGGAACUGAAACAUCUAAGUACCCCGAGGAAAAGAAAUCAACCGAGAUUCCCCCAGUAGCGGCGAGCGAACGGGGAGGAGCCCAGAGCCUGAAUCAGCAUGUGUGUUAGUGGAAGCGUCUGGAAAGGCGCGCGAUACAGGGUGACAGCCCCGUACACAAAAGCGCAUGUGCUGUGAGCUCGAUGAGUAGGGCGGGACACGUGGUAUCCUGUCUGAAUAUGGGGGGACCAUCCUCCAAGGCUAAAUACUCCUGACUGACCGAUAGUGAACCAGUACCGUGAGGGAAAGGCGAAAAGAACCCCGGCGAGGGGAGUGAAAAAGAACCUGAAACCGUGUACGUACAAGCAGUGGGAGCNGUGACUGCGUACCUUUUGUAUAAUGGGUCAGCGACUUAUAUUCUGUAGCAAGGUUAACCGAAUAGGGGAGCCGGAGGGAAACCGAGUCUUAAUUGGGCGUUAAGUUGCAGGGUAUAGACCCGAAACCCGGUGAUCUAGCCAUGGGCAGGUUGAAGGUUGGGUAACACUAACUGGAGGACCGAACCGACUAAUGUUGAAAAAUUAGCGGAUGACCUGUGGCUGGGGGUGAAAGGCCAAUCAAACCGGGAGAUAGCUGGUUCUCCCCGAAAGCUAUUUAGGUAGCGCCUCGUGAAUUCAUCUCCGGGGGUAGAGCACUGUUUCGGCUAGGGGGCCAUCCCGGCUUACCAACCCGAUGCAAACUGCGAAUACCGGAGAAUGUUAUCACGGGAGACACACGGCGGGUGCUAACGUCCGUCGUGAAGAGGGAAACAACCCAGACCGCCAGCUAAGGUCCCAAAGUCAUGGUUAAGUGGGAAACGAUGUGGGAAGGCCCAGACAGCCAGGAUGUUGGCUUAGAAGCAGCCAUCAUUUAAAGAAAGCGUAAUAGCUCACUGGUCGAGUCGGCCUGCGCGGAAGAUGUAACGGGGCUAAACCAUGCACCGAAGCUGCGGCAGCGACGCUUAUGCGUUGUUGGGUAGGGGAGCGUUCUGUAAGCCUGUGAAGGUGGCCUGUGAGGGUUGCUGGAGGUAUCAGAAGUGCGAAUGCUGACAUAAGUAACGAUAAAGCGGGUGAAAAGCCCGCUCGCCGGAAGACCAAGGGUUCCUGUCCAACGUUAAUCGGGGCAGGGUGAGUCGACCCCUAAGGCGAGGCCGAAAGGCGUAGUCGAUGGGAAACGGGUUAAUAUUCCCGUACUUGGUGUUACUGCGAAGGGGGGACGGAGAAGGCUAUGUUGGCCGGGCGACGGUUGUCCCGGUUUAAGCGUGUAGGUGUGUGUUCCAGGUAAAUCCGGUUCACUUUAACACUGAGGCGUGACGACGAGGCACUACGGUGCUGAAGCAACAAAUGCCCUGCUUCCAGGAAAAGCCUCUAAGCAUCAGGUAACAUCAAAUCGUACCCCAAACCGACACAGGUGGUCAGGUAGAGAAUACCAAGGCGCUUGAGAGAACUCGGGUGAAGGAACUAGGCAAAAUGGUGCCGUAACUUCGGGAGAAGGCACGCUGACACGUAGGUGAAGUGAUUUACUCAUGGAGCUGAAGUCAGUCGAAGAUACCAGCUGGCUGCAACUGUUUAUUAAAAACACAGCACUGUGCAAACACGAAAGUGGACGUAUACGGUGUGACGCCUGCCCGGUGCCGGAAGGUUAAUUGAUGGGGUCAGCGCAAGCGAAGCUCCUGAUCGAAGCCCCGGUAAACGGCGGCCGUAACUAUAACGGUCCUAAGGUAGCGAAAUUCCUUGUCGGGUAAGUUCCGACCUGCACGAAUGGCGUAAUGAUGGCCAGGCUGUCUCCACCCGAGACUCAGUGAAAUUGAACUCGCUGUGAAGAUGCAGUGUACCCGCGGCAAGACGGAAAGACCCCGUGAACCUUUACUAUAGCUUGACACUGAACAUUGAGCCUUGAUGUGUAGGAUAGGUGGGAGGCUUUGAAGUGUGGACGCCAGUCUGCAUGGAGCCGACCUUGAAAUACCACCCUUUAAUGUUUGAUGUUCUAACGUGGACCCGUAAUCCGGGUUGCGGACAGUGUCUGGUGGGUAGUUUGACUGGGGCGGUCUCCUCCUAAAGAGUAACGGAGGAGCACGAAGGUUGGCUAAUCCUGGUCGGACAUCAGGAGGUUAGUGCAAUGGCAUAAGCCAGCUUGACUGCGAGCGUGACGGCGCGAGCAGGUGCGAAAGCAGGUCAUAGUGAUCCGGUGGUUCUGAAUGGAAGGGCCAUCGCUCAACGGAUAAAAGGUACUCCGGGGAUAACAGGCUGAUACCGCCCAAGAGUUCAUAUCGACGGCGGUGUUUGGCACCUCGAUGUCGGCUCAUCACAUCCUGGGGCUGAAGUAGGUCCCAAGGGUAUGGCUGUUCGCCAUUUAAAGUGGUACGCGAGCUGGGUUUAGAACGUCGUGAGACAGUUCGGUCCCUAUCUGCCGUGGGCGCUGGAGAACUGAGGGGGGCUGCUCCUAGUACGAGAGGACCGGAGUGGACGCAUCACUGGUGUUCGGGUUGUCAUGCCAAUGGCACUGCCCGGUAGCUAAAUGCGGAAGAGAUAAGUGCUGAAAGCAUCUAAGCACGAAACUUGCCCCGAGAUGAGUUCUCCCUGAGACUUAGAGUCUCCUGAAGGAACGUUGAAGACGACGACGUUGAUAGGCCGGGUGUGUAAGCGCAGCGAUGCGUUGAGCUAACCGGUACUAAUGAACCGUGAGGCUUAACCUU
rnacentral:rRNA from 1 species